rnacentral:tRNA from 1 species
UCCCUGGUGGCUCAGAUGGUAAAGAAUCUGCCUCCAAUGCAGGAGACCUGGGUUCGAUCCCUGGGUUGGGAA